rnacentral:rRNA from 1 species
GAUGAACGCUGGCUACAGGCUUAACACAUGCAAGUCGAGGGGAAACGACGGGGAAGCUUGCUUCCCCGGGCGUCGACCGGCGCACGGGUGAGUAACGCGUAUCCAACCUGCCUCUGACUGAGGGAUAACCCGUCGAAAGUCGGCCUAAUACCUCAUGGCAUCGUCUGCGGGCAUCCAACGACGAUUAAAGAUUUCAUCGGUCAGAGAUGGGGAUGCGUCUGAUUAGCUUGUUGGCGGGGGAACGGCCCACCAAGGCGACGAUCAGUAGGGGUUCUGAGAGGAAGGUCCCCCACAUUGGAACUGAGACACGGUCCAAACUCCUACGGGAGGCAGCAGUGAGGAAUAUUGGUCAAUGGGCGAGAGCCUGAACCAGCCAAGUAGCGUGCAGGAUGACGGCCCUAUGGGUUGUAAACUGCUUUUAUGCGGGGAUAAAGUGAGGGACGUGUCCUUCAUUGCAGGUACCGCAUGAAUAAGGACCGGCUAAUUCCGUG